UUGGAAAAAAAUGUAGUGCUUUAUACACGUAGUGGGAUCAUAUUUCUGUUCAUUUAAUAAAUAACCUUACCAAAUUAAACGAGUGUGCGAUCGUGUUAACCAAUUUGAGCUCAUGAACUCAAAAAUUUAGUAAUGCCCAACUGAAUAAUAUUACUAAAAAUUCUAUCAACUCAAAAAUAUGUUACAAUACGAAAGAGAUCACGUCUCCUUGGAAGCCACACGUUGCUUGAAACGGAUCAGGUAAUUUAUUAGUCUUUAUCAUGGUUAAGGAGCAUUUGGCCUCUUUAUAUGAUCUCCAGCAAUCCUCACCUCUUCUGCUAGCUUUUAGGUUGAGUUAGGUCUAAGGUCCAUUUCUUUAGCUCAUCACAUAAAUUAUCAAGAAGUGAAUUCUUGUUAAUCAGUGUCGCAGAGCGGCUAACGAGUCACACUAUAUUCUGCAGUUGCUAUGCCGGUGCUAAAUGGUGACAGGGACGAGUAGCACUGCAUCUACAGCCUAAACUAUCGUUGAAAGGCUUAAGAGAGGUCAGGAAGGACAAAUCAAAGAGAAGGGUGGUUCGUUGAUCAGUAUGAACUUCAGCAUGAAGUGGUUGGGUUCACUCCUUCUCGAGGAAGGGAUUCAACGUAUUAGGCAAAACGCAGUAGCUUUAUCUUAUCUAGUGUCUGAAAAUAUUUAACUCCCAAAAAAGGAUUACGGUUCAGAAACAUAGACUAAAAAUCCUGGCUCCACUUUGCUUAUUUAGUAAUGUUUUCUUAGGAUGAUGUUUGGAUCUAUCCUAAAUACAGACUUGUACUAUGUAACUAUUUUGCU
rnacentral:lncRNA from 1 species